rnacentral:lncRNA from 1 species
AUGCUUUGCCCGUCCUACCACUGCAGGAAUAUAAAGCACCACGUGCCCCCUGGGUACCAGUGCUCUCGGGAUGGCUCCGUGGGAAAGGCAGCAUGGCCAGAUGCCUCCCAGCACCCCGCCUGCAGCACGCGGAUGGAUCUGGCCCACCCUGCAGCCACAGAGGCUCGUGAGAGAUUGCAGGGCUGCUGGCUGAUGUGGGACAGCUGCCCAGGAGGCCAGGCGCACCAUCUCAGAGCAGUGGCAUGCACUGUCUGGCUUGCCCGCUCCCGCAGCUCUGGUAUUUGGGGGAUUUAUUCAUCGGAGCAAGUGUUCUGAAAGAACCUUCCAGAAAGCCCUAUCUCUGGGAGCCAUGGAAGCAUCCUUUUGCAAAAUGUCACAUUCAAAAUGCAAGCUCUGAGAGUACUUAUUCAAGUGAACUCGGUUUCUACUACUGAACACACAAGUGUUACUCAAGAGGAACGAGGAGCAAGAGGAGCAGGUAGCUGCAUCUCAUGGAUGUGAGAUGCUCCAGGCCCCGUGCGCACUGCUGGGAAAUGGUUGUAGGUGCUUCUGGCAAGCGUCUGCUUUGUGAGCUCAAUCUGUGCAACCGUGAGGAAAAUGGACUGCAAUUAAGAAAACAUCAAAUCCUGGACUUCUAUGAGGGAAAAAGUUGAGCAGAUGUGUGGGUGGUGUUGCAUGGAGCGACCAUGUGAUUUUCCCUGAAGAAGUCACGGCUGGGGGAUCAGUGCUGCAGCUUUAACCCUGGAAGAGCAAGCUCUAAGACCCUGCGGUGCAGAGGCCCUGGCUCAUACGUUACAUGUCUCAAUGCAGAGCCUAAUCCACUUAGGCAAGCACGGAGUGAAAAUAUCAUUGCCUUUACAGCGAGAGCCGAAGGCUACAACAAAUCUAAAUGCCAUAGCUCCAUCAAAAUAAACACUCAAAGCCAUCUUGACA